GAUGAACGCUGGCGGCGUGCCUAAUACAUGCAAGUCGAGCGAGAAACUCAUGACUGAUUCUUCGGAUGAAGGACUGAGCGGAAAGCGGCGGACGGGUGAGUAACGCGUGGGUAACCUGCCCCAUACAGAGGGAUAGCAGUUGGAAACGACUAUUAAUACCUCAUAUUCUGCUUUUAUCGCAUGAUAGAAGUAGGAAAGAUUUAUCGGUAUGGGAUGGACCCGCGUCUGAUUAGCUAGUUGGUGAGGUAACGGCUCACCAAGGCGACGAUCAGUAGCCGACCUUAGAGGGUGAUCGGCCACACUGGAACUGAGACACGGUCCAGACUCCUACGGGAGGCAGCAGUAGGGAAUAUUGGGCAAUGGGGGCAACCCUGACCCAGCAACGCCGCGUGAACGAAGAAGGUCUUCGGAUUGUAAAGUUCUUUUCUUAGGGAAGAAGAAAGUGACGGUACCUAAGGAAUAAGCACCGGCUAACUACGUGCCAGCAGCCGCGGUAAUACGUAGGGUGCAAGCGUUAUCCGGAAUCACUGGGCGUAAAGGGUGCGUAGGCGGCCUAACAAGUCAGGAGUGAAAGGCAUUGGCUUAACCAAUGUGAGCUUCUGAAACUGUUUGGCUUGAAUACAGGAUGGGCAAGUGGAAUUCCUAGUGUAGCGGUGAAAUGCGUAGAUAUUAGGAGGAACAUCAGUGGCGAAGGCGACUUGCUGGACUGAGAUUGACGCUGAGGCACGAAAGCGUGGGGAGCGAACAGG
rnacentral:rRNA from 1 species